UGGCUCCCGCAUCGAUGAAGAACGCAGCGAAACGCGAAAUGUAAUGUGAAUUGCAGAACCCCCGUGAAUCAUCGAAUCUUUGAACGCACCUUGCGCCCUGGGGCAUUCCCCUGGGCAUGUCUGUCUGAGUGUCGCGCACCUCUCAACCACCCCGGUGGGUUGGACCGUGGCCGGCGGCUGUCGCAGCCCGGCCGAAAUGCACGCGGAGCGCGCACGCGCGUCUGCGACGUGCCACAGCGUUGUAGACCCCUCGCUGACCGUCGCGGAUGCGUGGCUCCCCAGGCUUUACUUUUUCGACCUCAGAUCAGUCAGGACUACCCGCUGA
rnacentral:misc_RNA from 1 species